UACGAAGGGGGCUAGCGUUGUUCGGAAUUACUGGGCGUAAAGCGAACGUAGGCGGUGUUCCAUGUCAGAGGUGAAAGCCUGGGGGCUCAACUCCAGAAUUGCCUUUGAAACGGGGGACGCUUGAGUCCGAGAGAGGGUGGCGGAAUUCCUAGUGUAGAGGUGAAAUUCGUAGAUAUUAGGAAGAACACCAGUGGCGAAGGCGGCCCACCUGGCUCGGUACUGACGCUCAGGUUCGAAAGCGUGGGGAGCAAACAGG
rnacentral:rRNA from 1 species